UUCUUUGCACUUAAGGUGAAUAUCAUGUCUGUCUUACAUUACUCUGUUUUGUCUGUGUUUUAAUCAUCUUUUGGUGAGUGCUCCGCAUUUGGAUACUUAAGGACCAUUAGGGUGGUGAUAGUAAGAUGGAACAAAAGCUUGGAGUGCUGCUAAAGAAGUUGGAAUGGUAGAGUGAGUCCUGUCAUCUUCCUCAUGGCCUCACCUCUGCCGUCUUCCUGCACUCACCCUAUUCCCUUUUGUAGCUAAACCAUUUCCCAGGCUCAUUCCAGAUUGGGAGGAAGGACCGGCUAUGGCGGAACCUGUCACGCAUGCAGAGCCGCUUUGGCAAGAAGGAGUUCAGUUUCUUCCCCCAGUCCUUUAUCCUGCCCCAGGACGCCAAGCUCCUGCGCAAAGCGUGGGAGAGCAGCAGCCGCCAAAAGUGGAUUGUGAAGCCACCAGCAUCAGCUCGAGGCAUUGGCAUCCAGGUUAUUCACAAGUGGAGUCAGCUCCCCAAGCGAAGGCCCCUCCUGGUACAGAGGUAUCUACACAAACCCUACCUCAUCAGCGGCAGCAAAUUUGAUCUGCGGAUCUAUGUUUACGUCACUUCCUA
rnacentral:sRNA from 1 species